UCCUAUAAUUUGUUGAUGUGUAAUCGAGUUCAUCUUCUGCAGGAAUCAAUGGAUGGUAUCUGGAACUUCAUAAUAGAUAAGGUAAACUGUCUUGUAUCUUGAUUCUUGAGUAAAGCUUCAAAUCGUUUUGUAAUUAACCUCUUGAGAAUCCUUACAGCUUAUUUUCCCUAAUCCUUUGAAAUUUCUUAGGUACUUUUGAAUUUGCAAAAAAACCCAAAAAAAACUGCAGAUUUGAUUCACUUUUUGAUGAAAUUGGUGUUAAUUUGAUGGUAUGAUAUCAAAUUCAUCAAACGUGAAUCAAAUCAAAUUGGUGUUAAAAAAAAAACAUGUCUUUAUACGAACCCAUGAUAGCAAAUGCUUAGGCCUCUCUCUGAUCAGAUUUGUACGAACCCAUGAUAGCAAAUGCUUAGGCCUCUCAUCUGUUUGGUAUUGACUGCCAUAAGAAAGUUUCUGGAGGCCGCAAAUGGAAGAGAAACUUCUGCAGGGUUACAAGCAAGGAAGUGGUAUAGUAUGUAGCUGCUGCGAUACAGAGGUAACACGCUGAAUGCAGUGACUAAUCUAGGGUUAGUUUAUUGGUGUAUAUAUAUAUUCAAGAUCGGCAGCUUUCUUCUCUCCUACUAUCAUACUUGAGGUUUAUUUUCUUCUCUGUCAAAUUAACAUACACACUACAAUGGGAGAUUCACAGGCUGUGAAAGCUAAAGGUCAGUAUAACCAGUGGUUAGAACAUGAAAGCAAGAUGUUAGUACAGCUGCUAGUGGAUGCAAUCAAUCAGGGUUUUUGUGAUGGUAAUGGAAAGUUCAGCAAAUUAACCGUGGAGACAAGAGUGUUACCGACACUAAACAAAAAUCUUGGCAUUAACAAAAGCUUCAAGUAGUAUAAAAAUAGGUUAAAGAUCUUGAAGAAUAAGUACAAUGGCUUGUCAGAUCAUUUUCGUUUUAGUUCUGGUUUUGGGUGGGACCCUAAAACGAAGAAAUUCACUGCUCCAGAUGAAGUAUGUGCUGACUAUUUGAAGGCUCAUCCAGGUAAAACAAAUCUGCGUGAUGACUCAUUUGAAGAUUUUGGAGAUUUACGAAUGAUUUUUGAAUCAAAUACUGCUACUGGAAGGAAUGCUGUGGGAUUAAGUGAUGCCAUUGAUACAAAUACAUAUGACGUUAGAGAGCAUGAAGGGACAACUAAUUCAAGUCGUGACCAAAUAAUAGAAGAUGAAGAAAUAGCAUAUGAAGAAACAUCUGUUCAAGAAGUUUUCUCUGCAUUAGAGACAAGAAGAGGGGGAAAGCUACCUCCAAGAAAGAAGGCUAGAACUGAAACUGAUGCACUUAACUCAAACAAGGCUGUUGAUGAACUGCAAGAUUCAGUUCAGCAGAUUUUUGGCAUGAUACAAAAAAGAUGGGAAAAGGAAAAUGAAGAAAAAGAAGCUGAGGACAAAGCUAAUAACGUGUGGGAUGCUAUCAAAGAAAUUCCUGAUUUGGAUGAUGGUUUGUGUUAUGAGGCCAUGACAUUGGUUCACAGCUUAGGUAUGAAAUAUGGAUUCGUCCAUAUGUCUAUAGCAGAUCGCAAGGGAUGGAUUCUAGGAAACCUUUGUAAACCAUGAGAUUGAAGUUGAAUGCAUCAACAAAAAUUGAAGAGGGUUUUUAUUUUAUUUAAUAGUUUUCGUUUUCAAAUUAGCAAUACCUUAUGAGCUCUCUUUUUAUUUUAUUUUUGAUUUAAGUCAUUUCUUCCUUUUAAAA